AUUGAACGCUGGCGGCAGGCCUAACACAUGCAAGUCGAACGGUAACAGGAAGAAGCUUGCUUCUUUGCUGACGAGUGGCGGACGGGUGAGUAAUGUCUGGGAAACUGCCUGAUGGAGGGGGAUAACUACUGGAAACGGUAGCUAAUACCGCAUAACGUCGCAAGACCAAAGAGGGGGACCUUCGGGCCUCUUGCCAUCGGAUGUGCCCAGAUGGGAUUAGCUAGUAGGUGGGGAACGGCUCACCUAGGCGACGAUCCCUAGCUGGUCUGAGAGGAUGAUCAGCCACACUGGAACUGAGACACGGUCCAGACUCCUACGGGAGGCAGCAGUGGGGAAUAUUGGACAAUGGGCGCAAGCCUGAUCCAGCCAUGCCGCGUGUGUGAA
rnacentral:rRNA from 1 species